UGAGGAGUGGCUUCCGGAGCUAACGCGUUAAGUCGACCGCCUGGGGAGUACGGCCGCAAGGUUAAAACUCAAAUGAAUUGACGGGGGCCCGCACAAGCGGUGGAGCAUGUGGUUUAAUUCGAUGCAACGCGAAGAACCUUACCUACUCUUGACAUCCAGAGAACUUAGCAGAGAUGCUUUGGUGCCUUCGGGAACUCUGAGACAGGUGCUGCAUGGCUGUCGUCAGCUCGUGUUGUGAAAUGUUGGGUUAAGUCCCGCAACGAGCGCAACCCUUAUCCUUUGUUGCCAGCGGUCCGGCCGGGAACUCAAAGGAGACUGCCAGUGAUAAACUGGAGGAAGGUGGGGAUGACGUCAAGUCAUCAUGGCCCUUACGAGUAGGGCUACACACGUGCUACAAUGGCGCAUACAAAGAGAAGCGAACUCGCGAGAGCAAGCGAACCUCAUAAAGUGCGUCGUAGUCCGGAUUGGAGUCUGCAACUCGACUCCAUGAAGUCGGAAUCGCUAGUAAUC
rnacentral:rRNA from 1 species